GGGGAAGUCCGGUCGAAAUCCGGCGCUGACCCGCAACGGUAGGUGGAGCCCCCGGUUCCACGAGCCCGAUCACCC
rnacentral:ncRNA from 2 species